rnacentral:rRNA from 1 species
CCUACGGGCGGCAGCAGUGGGGAAUAUUGCACAAUGGGGGAAACCCUGAUGCAGCGACGCCGCGUGAGUGAAGACGUAUUUCGGUAUGUUAAGCUCUAUCAGCAGGGAAGAAAAUGACGGUACCUGACUACUAAGCCCCGGCUAACUACGUGCCAGCAGCCGCGGUAAUACGUACGGGGCAAGCGUUACCCGGAUUUACUGGGUGUAAAGGGAGCUUACACGGGCAUACAAGUCAGAAGUGAAAGCCCAGGGCUCAACCCUGGGACUUCCUUUGAAACUGCCGGGCUGGAGUGCACGAGAGGUAAGCGGAAUUCGUAGUGUAGCGGUGAAAUGCGUAGAUAUUAGGAGGAACACCAGUGGCGAAGGCGGCUUACUGGACUGUAACUGACGUUGAGGCUCGAAAGCGUGGGGAGCAAACAGGAUUAGAUACCCGUGUAGUC